rnacentral:misc_RNA from 1 species
GAUGAAGAACGUAGCGAAAUGCGAUAAGUAAUGUGAAUUGCAGAAUUCAGUGAAUCAUCGAAUCUUUGAACGCACAUUGCGCCCCUUGGUAUUCCGAGGGGCAUGCCUGUUCGAGCGUCAUUAUAACCCCUCAAGCUCAGCUUGGUCUUGGGCUUCGCCGCUAACCCGGCGGGUCUUAAAAUCAGUGGCGGUGCCGUCGGGCCCUGAGCGCAGUAAUCUCUCUCGCUAUAGGGUCCCGGCGGAUGCUGGCCAGUAACCCCCAAUUUUCUAUGGUUGACCUCGGAUCAGGUAGGGAUACCCGCUGAACUUAAGCAUAUCAAUAAGCGGAGGA